AAAUAUAAUUAAGCGCCAGGACUUUUUUAUGAUUUAAAGUUGACGAGGUCAGAGUUUAUCGAAAUAUCGGCGGAUACUCUGCGUUUAACCAGCGUAAAAAACCUAACAAAGACUUAAAGUAAUUUAAGGAACAAAAAGGUGUGGUUAUGGGUU
rnacentral:ncRNA from 2 species